rnacentral:tRNA from 1 species
GGGCGCGUAGCUCAGCUGGUUAGAGCACCUAGCUUAUAUCUAGGCGGUCCCUGGUUCGAAUCCAGGCGCGCCCA